GACAGGAAGCAACAGUGCCAGGUAUCCACCACUGAAAAUGGCAAAUGUUACAGAAUAGAUCAUAAGUAAAGGAAAGGUUGUGGCCAGAGGACACAGCAGGUUGGUGACACCACAAAGAAUGAGAAUGGGGCUAUUCAUCUGAGAAGAUGGGCAUUUGGGCAACUUUGGGCUGGCAUCUGUCUGGACUGCAGUGAAUGCAGUAGUGCUGAUGAUUGAAGUGGUAGCAAUAUUCCUGUUCCUUUUAAAAGAAAAUAAUAGAAAACCUUCUGCAGCCUAAUGGUAAGCACCUCCCUACAUUUAUAUUCCACAGAUUUGAAACAACCCCUGGAGAUUAUUCCAGUCUUCAGGAGCCUUCCAUUUGCCUGAAAGAGAUUUAAACUCUCUUGGUCCAGUGCUAAUUUUAUAUUUAUAAAGAGAGCAUGUGCAAAAAAAAAAGGCUUUUAGAAAAAGAACCUGUUUGAUUUCUUUCCCCUGAAAUGGUCUUUCUCUCUCAGGAUAUUUAUUUCCCAUUGAUGUCCUACAAUGUAACAAAGUAGAGGACAAUUUUACUACUAUGGUAGAAUUCCUCAUAAUUUGCCUAUCUCAGAAUUAAGUAGAACAAUUGAAGCAGAGUUUAACCAAUCCUAAGAUCUACUGCACCAGAAGGAUCUAUACAUUUUAAAGAAAAGGCAAAUUCUUUUACAAUGUUGCAGAUUUUUGGAUUUUGCUCAUAGCAAAGGGGGGAAAGUUGAAAGGGAAGGCAGUUUAGUUACAAUUUGACUCUAAAACAUUUGUGUCAGAUUUAACAUCAGUGUAAUUCCAAUUACUGAUUAACAGUUCAAAGAAAGGCUUGAUUUAAUCAUUUACAUUUCCUGUUCUGAUAUUUCAGGGCAAACACAGAAAAAUAAAAUAUCAGCAACAAAAAAGUCAAGUAGUGAUUUUGCCAUAGCCGUGCCUUAGCUGACAUUUAAAGUAAGUGGUGGAAAGUGAAGCUUACUAACCUUUCCAGCUAUACACUUCUAUCAGGAAUUGAACUAACGGCGCUAGCGCAACACUCAGUCCCAUUCCUGAACGUCCUAUUGCGUUGGCUAGAGCCAGCCGUUUCUUGAAGUACUUAACUGUCAUCACAGCUGCUACCUGAUACAAGCAAGCGAAACCCAGUCCUAAAAUGAAGAAGAGAAGCAUAAUGACCAAGAGCUGAACCUCAUGUGUGAGUGCUAUUUUUUUUGCUUGGUUUAGUUGAAACCAUCUUAUGUGGUUUAAAAGCAAUUUACAGAUUUAUCACACUGCGGUGGGAAUAAAAUGCCCAGUGAAAGGACCCAAAUGUGGAAGCAAAUAAUUGGAUUGUUGGCUAGCAGUACUGCAUUAUAGGAUUCCCUGGAGGUAGCAAUAGGAUGGUUUGGUGAUCUUAGAGGUAACAUCAGCUUGCUUUAACCUCUGACUCUGACCACAUAGUCAAAGUGCAAAUCAAACAUUGAAGUAAGAGACAUUUAGGGACCAUAGCUCAGUGAUAAACUUAUUUUGGUACUCUGACUUAAUUCCUGGUAGUUCCAGUUAAAAGGAUGAUGGGGAGAUAAUAAGUAGGAUCUUUGCUUGGAUUUCCGAAGAGCUAACAUCAAUCAGAGUGAAAUAAAUGAUAUCAGACUUAGUGGACCAAUUGUCUGACCUGAUAUAAGGAAAUUUUCCAGUUUAAAAAGGUCCCCCCCACCUCGUAAAUGGCUAUAUAAGAAACUCAUUUCUGCAUUUUUCCCUUGUGUUUACCUCUAGGACAUGUGCUUCAUUUGAGAAGGAUUCUUAACAGGUUUAAGAACAACUCAUCCUCAGAUUGCUUGGGAUAACUAAUCCUUGGGGGAUCGAACCAGUGCCAAGGAAACGAGGCACCAUUGCCUGCUGGUGUCUUCUGCAGUCCAACUUUGGAAGACAGCAGAACAUGGGCAUGCUUUACUUCCUCAGAACUGUGUCCUAGGUUUUAGCAGCUCUCUUACAAGCAGACUAGCCUCUCUUUGGUGGGAAACAGCUUUGAAAAAUGUGAAAGCCCAGCUAGUUACAGCUGUUUGCAAAUGAUCCCUAAAUAUGUGUCCAUGAUGAGUUAAAAGUCUAUGACUGACUUGUUAGACAUGUUAACUGUACACUCACCUGCAAGAAAUCCCAUGGACACGCACAGGAAAGAAAUGCUUGUGGCCAGAGUGCUGACAAGGCACCCUGCACCAACUAGGCAAGCGCCCAUCAGGGAAGUCUUCCUUUCACCCAGCAUUUCACAUACUGCGGUUACCAGUGGGGCUGGAACAGAAAGUGUUGAAUGGAAUAUACAUAUUGGUGACAGUGUUAGGGGAUAUUGAGCUUAGUAUAGAGCUUCAUUUAUGGGAAUUAAAAACUAGGGUGAUAAAGAGAAUGUAUUAUGCUAUGUAAACAAGUGGGAAAAUAAAAUGUCUGAGGAUACAAGAAAAGACAGUC